UCUCCGUUGGUGAACCAGCGGAGGGGUCAUUACAGAGUUGCAAAACUCCCAAACCAUUGUGAACGUUACCUAUCCCGUUGCUUCGGCGGGCGGCCCGGGCCCCGCGCCCGGCGCCCCCCGGCCCCCCGUGGGCGCCCGCCGGAGGUAAACCAAACCCUUGAAUUGCAUGGCCUCUCUGAGUCUUCGGUACUGAAUAAGUCAAAACUUUCAACAACGGGUCUCUUGGUUCUG
rnacentral:misc_RNA from 1 species